AGUGGCGUACGGGUGAGUAACGCGUAGGUAUCUAUCCUUGGGUGGGGGACAACCGCGGGAAACUGCGGCUAAUACCGCAUGAUUUGCGACAAAGGCCCGCCUGAGGAGGAGCCUGCGUCCGAUUAGCUUGUUGGUAGGGUAACGGCCUACCAAGGCGACGAUCGGUAGCUGGUCUGAGAGGAUGAUCAGCCACACUGGGACUGAGACACGGCCCAGACCCCUACGGGAGGCAGCAGUGGGGAAUAUUGGACAAUGGGCGGAAGCCUGAUCCAGCAAUGCCGCGUGGGUGAAGAAGGUCUUCGGAUUGUAAAGCCCUUUCGGCGGGGACGAUUGACGGUACCCGCAGAAGAAGCCCCGGCUAACUUCGUGCCAGCAGCCGCGGUAAUACGAAGGGGGCUAGCGUUGCUCGGAAUGACUGGGCGUAAAGGGCGCGUAGGCGGAUAUUACAGUCAGGCGUGAAAUUCCUGGGCUCAACCUGGGGGCUGCGUUUGAUAC
rnacentral:rRNA from 1 species